rnacentral:rRNA from 1 species
GAUCCUGGCUCAGGAUGAACGCUGGCGGCGUGCUUAACACAUGCAAGUCGAACGAAGCGCUUAAAUUUGAUUCUUCGGAUGAAGAUUUUUGUGACUGAGUGGCGGACGGGUGAGUAACGCGUGGGUAACCUGCCUCAUACAGGGGGAUAACAGUUAGAAAUGACUGCUAAUACCGCAUAAGCGCACAGGACCGCAUGGUCUGGUGUGAAAAACUCCGGUGGUAUGAGAUGGACCCGCG